AUAUAACUAGGCGGAGGAAAAGAAACUAACAAGGAUUCCCUUAGUAACGGCGAGUGAAGCGGGAAGAGCUCAGAGCGAAAAUCUUCGGAAUUGUGCUCUAGAGAGGCCUGAUCAACUCUGAUAGCGGGUAAAGUCUCCUGGAAUGGAGCGCCUAGGAGGGUUACAGCCCCGUCUAUGCCUGCUUGGUGAGUGUACGAUCGGUCUUCAACGAGUCGAGUUGUUUGGGAUUGCAGCUCUAAGUGGGUGGUAAAUUCCAUCUAAAGCUAAAUAUUGGUGGGAGACCGAUAGCGCACAAGUA
rnacentral:rRNA from 1 species